AUUGAACGCUGGCGGCAGGCCUAACACAUGCAAGUCGAACGAGUAGCGGACGGGUGAGUAAUGUAUGGGAAACUGCCUGAUGGAGGGGGAUAACUACUGGAAACGGUAGCUAAUACAGCAUAACAUCCGAUGUGACCAGAUGGGAUUAGCUUGUUGGUGGGGUAACGGCUAACCAAGGCGACGAUCCCUAGCUGGUCUGAGAGGAUGACCUGCCACCAUGGAACUGAGCAACGUUCCAGACUCCUACGGGAGGCAGCAGGGGGGAAGAGUGCACAAUGGGCGCAAGCCUGAUGCAGCCAUGCCGCGUGUAUGAAGAAGGCUUUCGGGUGGUAAAGUACUUUCAGCGGGGAGGCGUUACCCGCAGAAGAAGCACCGGCUAACUCCGUGCCAGCAGACGCGGUAAUAC
rnacentral:rRNA from 1 species